rnacentral:rRNA from 1 species
UACGUAGGGUGCAAGCGUUGUCCGGAAUUAUUGGGCGUAAAGAGCUCGUAGGCGGUCUGUCACGUCGGCUGUGAAAACCCGGGGCUCAACCCCGGGCCUGCAGUCGAUACGGGCAGAACUAGAGGUGCGGUAGGGGAGACUGGAAUUCCUGGUGUAGCGGUGAAAUGCGCAGAGUAAUCAGGAGGAACACCGGUGGCGAAGGCGGGUCUCUGGGCCGUAACUGACGCUGAGGAGCGAAAGCGUGGGGAGCGAACAGG